rnacentral:rRNA from 1 species
AGAGUUUGAUCCUGGCUCAGGAUGAACGCUGGCGGCGUGCUUAACACAUGCAAGUCGAACGAUGAAGCCCCUGCUUGCAGGGGUGGAUUAGUGGCGAACGGGUGAGUAACACGUGAGCAACCUGCCCCUGACUCUGGGAUAAGCGCUGGAAACGGUGUCUAAUACUGGAUAUGUGCCACGGCCGCAUGGUCUGUGGUUGGAAAGAUUUUUCGGUUGGGGAUGGGCUCGCGGCCUAUCAGCUUGUUGGUGAGGUAAUGGCUCACCAAGGCGUCGACGGGUAGCCGGCCUGAGAGGGUGACCGGCCACACUGGGACUGAGACACGGCCCAGACUCCUACGGGAGGCAGCAGUGGGGAAUAUUGCACAAUGGGCGGAAGCCUGAUGCAGCAACGCCGCGUGAGGGAUGACGGCCUUCGGGUUGUAAACCUCUUUUAGCAGGGAAGAAGCGAAAGUGACGGUACCUGCAGAAAAAGCACCGGCUAACUACGUGCCAGCAGCCGCGGUAAUACGUAGGGUGCAAGCGUUAUCCGGAAUUAUUGGGCGUAAAGAGCUCGUAGGCGGUUUGUCGCGUCUGCCGUGAAAUCCUCAGGCUCAACCUGAGGCUUGCGGUGGGUACGGGCAGACUUGAGUGCGGUAGGGGAGAUUGGAAUUCCUGGUGUAGCGGUGGAAUGCGCAGAUAUCAGGAGGAACACCGAUGGCGAAGGCAGAUCUCUGGGCCGUAACUGACGCUGAGGAGCGAAAGGGUGGGGAGCAAACAGGCUUAGAUACCCUGGUAGUCCACCCCGUAAACGUUGGGAACUAGUUGUGGGGUCCUUUCCACGGAUUCCGUGACGCAGCUAACGCAUUAAGUCCCGCU